CGUGUAGGCGGCUCGCCAAGUCUGAUGUGAAAGCCCGGGGCUCAACCCCGGAAGUGCAUUGGAAACUGGCGAACUUGAGUACGGGAGAGGAAAGUGGAAUUUCGAGUGUGGGGGUGAAAUCCGUAGAUAUUCGAAGGAACACCAGUGGCGAAGGCGGCUUUCUGGACCGAUACUGACGCUGAGACGCGAAAGCGUGGGGAGCAAACAGGAUUAGAUACCCUGGUAGUCC
rnacentral:rRNA from 1 species